rnacentral:rRNA from 1 species
CCUACGGGAGGCAGCAGUAAGGAAUAUUGGUCAAUGGACGGAAGUCUGAACCAGCCAUGCCGCGUGCAGGAUGACGGCCCUCUGGGUUGUAAACUGCUUUUAUAGGGGACGAAAAAAGGGGAUUCUUCCUCACUUGACGGUACCCUAGGAAUAAGCACCGGCUAACUCCGUGCCAGCAGCCGCGGUAAUACGGAGGGUGCAAGCGUUAUCCGGAUUUACUGGGUUUAAAGGGUGCGUAGGUGGGUCGGUAAGUCAGCGGUGAAAUCUUCGAGCUUAACUCGGAAACUGCCAUUGAUACUAUCGAUCUUGAAUCGUCUAGAGGUAAGCGGAAUAUGUCAUGUAGCGGUGAAAUGCUUAGAUAUGACAUAGAACACCAAUUGCGAAGGCAGCUUACUAUGGAUGUAUUGACACUGAGGCACGAAAGCGUGGGGAUCAAACAGGAUUAGAUACCCUGGUAGUCCACGCCCUAAACGAUGGAUACUCGACAUUUGAGAUAUACUUUAAAGUGUUCUGAGAGAAGACAUUAAGUAUACCACCGUACGGAGGUACGAUCGCGAAGAGUUAGUAACGUACAAGUAGUAAGUUAGUACGGCGUGAGACGUAGACCGACGGACGACGACGAGGGAGGAGG